rnacentral:lncRNA from 1 species
AUGCAUCACCUAUACCUAUCCUCCUGUUUCUUCUUCACCGUCUACCACAAUCGUCUUAAUUUCUCUCCAGAACCUCUGAUUAUCGAGCUUUUAGCAGGGUAAUAUACGGACGGCUCGUGGCGGAAAUUGUUGUUUCUACCGUUGAAGCAACCAUGAUUUUGCAGCCAUGGCGUUCACCCUGCUCACAAUCUUGACCGAUGAGGUAGGGAGGCGAUUAAUUGGGCGUUAAAGACGACUACGCCAUAAAAAAUUGGGAGCCUUCGAUUAUCUCCACCCUUGUGUCCACAAUCUUCUCCGAUGAAGUAUUUAAAUUAAUGGAUUUCUUUACAGCCACAGAAGCUUUCUCACAUCAUCAUGCUUUCUUACGUCAUCACUGGAAAUGGAGGAAAGCAAAAGAUGGGAUUUAUUUUGAUGUGGGUUUAAUUUGCUUCUAUUUGUCCAUUUGUUUGAUUGCAAUGGCUUAGCCUCGCCCGCCUCCUAAACCCACAUAGGGUGUUUGGAUAUGCGUUAGGGAUGGAUGGAUUGAAUUAGCUUUUCGGAUUUUCUUUGGGAUUCAAAUCAUGGAUAUGAAGUUGUUGAAGGAUGGUAACUGGAAAGGGUUUCAUCGGUUUGAAUUCGAAAUAUUUGGUGGUGGUGAAGGAAGAAGUUGUUGAAGGAUGCAAGGAAUCAGCUGCGAUUUUGUACAUUUAUGUAAGGCGGUUAGACGGCAUGCUGAUGUUUCCGAGGCGGUUAGACGGCAUGCUGAUGUUUCCAAGGCGAUUAGACGGCGUGCUGAUGUUUCUGAGGCGGUUAAACGACAUGCUGAUGCAUUGAUAUCACAAUGACUUCUUAUCGAUGAUUUGACAAAUCAGAACGGUAAUGUAUCAAUGAUCAAGUUGGUUAAGUACAUUAAGGAAACAUCCUAUUAUUGGUACCUUCACAUAUCAAGCUUCUUGGAGUUAUCAUGGGGGUGAAUGGAGACAAGUGUCUAGGCUUUGAAGUAUGUAGGCUGAUUUUAUUUAUGUUUUGAUUCUGUUGUAUGUUAGUCUCCAUAGCAUCUUGGUAUGGAGUUGUUUAAACUUUUUAAUUUGUUUAUAAUAAAGUUCAGUUUCAAUAAAUAAAAGUUGUUAAUCCAU